GUUUUUAUUUAAUCAGAUCUUGUGAUGAUCAAGCAAUGUUUAAAAGAUCUGACGCGUGCGUGAGUCAAGAUCCAGCAAUUUAAAAGAUCUGGUGCUGGUUUAAAGAUAUGGUGGUGGAAAACAAAUCCGGUGGUAAACAAAUCAGUUGUGGGGGCUUUUGCAUGUGUGUUUGAGGGCUUCGAAGAUGCGAUGUUUUGGUUCAAGAAAAGUGUGAAUCAGUCACCAAAAGAUCCGAAACAACAACCAAUAUCUAAACCGAACAUCCAGGAUCUGAAAAAAAUUGGUGCGGUUCAGCGACCAAGAUUCGAAAGCGGACAACAACCAUCUAGAUCAAGUAUUCAGGCGGACGAGUAAUUUUAUGUUCACCACACACCCAAUGGCACUAGAAUGUGGUGUCCUAAUGUUCCUACUGGUUUAAGGCCUAUUGUUAGUUGUGUAUACGAAACGUGGAAGGAUGUGUUUAGUAUGUACAAGGAGUAUGCCGUGUAUUGUGUGUUUUCUAUUCGUAAGGGACAAACCAAGAGAUGGAAGAGGUUUGUUACUCACCAGUACAUAAGGUGUACUAAAUAUUCAAGACUAUAGAUUAAGCGUAAAACUGAUACCCUGUAUCAGUCAACCAUGAAUAUAUGUAUAAUAUAUGUAACAUCUUUUUUUGUAGUGUACGUACCAACAUGUAACAUCUUUUUGUAGGAAGACGACUUUUGUAACAAUGUGAUGUAAUAUAACACUUUGUGUCGGAGGAGAAAGAAAAGAAAACACGUUACACUUU